rnacentral:lncRNA from 1 species
AGAUUUCAAAUUUCAAACAUUAACUUAUCAAAGUACUCAACUUCAUUAUCUUCUUCUAUUACUUUUGAGGAUUUUUUUUUCAACUUUACCAAAUCAGAUUUUUUGAUUUUCAUUAUUGCAUGUUUUUAGUUCUUAAAAUCUCAGAGUUUGUAAUACUAUUCCAGUGUGAGAUUUGCUUUAUUUUGUAAUUUUUUCAACUUUUCUAGUCCAAAUUUUUUUGGGGGUUUUGCUUAUAUUUUCACGUGCUUAAUUCCUAAAAUCUAAGCUUUGUAAUGGAGUCUAGUCCGAUCUUUAGUUUAGGACUUAGUUAGAUGUAAAAAAAUAAAGAAAUUUCGUUGUUGGAUUUGUUCCUAGAACGUUUGAUUACAAGGAUCUCAAUUUCACAGAGAACAGAUCGAAAUACCGAAACGAUCCAAUAAAAAUAAAGAAAUUGAGGAAAGUUGGUGGUACAAGUUUCAAAAAUACUAUUGCGAAAUCUGCAAGUAAGAAAAAGAUUGAUGAAUUAGGACGAUCGCAUUUUUCAAAGGUAUAGUGAAUUGCUGUUUUUUUCUUUCUAAUUGUGGUUUCUCAUACAUUGUUAUACAUAACUUUGUAAUGUAUAGUGUUAAAGCCUUUUUGUCAUACAUAUGUUGUUACUUCAACCCUUAUACAUUUCUAAGCAAUGUAUAAGGACGUGGUUAAAUUCUGUUGUUUGUUCAAUUUUAUUCAGUUCAACUCUCAUACAUAACUAAGCGAAGUAUGUGGUUGGAAUCUAUUAUUUGUUCAUUUUAAAACAUAUCAAGUUGUGUAUAAUAAAGCACUAUUCUUAAGUUAGCAUGAUUUGUUUUGUUUUUAUUUCCUGUACAUUGAUAUACAUAUCAAGUUAUAAUUCUGAUUUUUUAAAACUCACAUACAUUACUACCCAAUGCUUAGUACAACAUAAUACAUAUGUUACUUUGAAUAUGUUAAUAUUAUACAUUAACAUGGUAACCUUAUACACAUGAAUGUUAUGCAUAAGGUUAUAGUAACCUGCAGUUUUUUAUUGAACUUACACAUAUCCAAUUGUGUAUAAGAAAGCAUUACGCAUAAAUAGACAUUUUUUUUUGUAUUUCUAAUACAUGAACAUGGAUAUAUUAUAUACAAACAUAUGUACAUUAUGUUUUAGGUUCUUUGGAUGUAUGCAAGUAUUUUUUAGCUUAUACAUUGCAGGUUAUGUACGUUAAAGUCAAUUUUUAUUAUUUAUGUUUGUAUUUUUUUCUUUUCAUUGUAUUAUUAUUACUUAUACAUUGCAUGUUAUGUAGGAUUUUUAUAGACGUGUAUGCGGAGUUCUUAAGUGAAGGGCUAACAGUACCUUCAGGUGGAUUUGAUGCAAAAAACCUUCGAUUAAGAAUCUUCGAUUAUGCUAUGCUACAUUACUUUGGAAUUACGAAGUAAUCAAGGCCACUGAAGUAUACACAAGUGACAAUGAUGAUCCUCCACGAUCCACGCCUAGUUAUGUUUAACCAAUUGACGAAGCAGCAAUAGUAUGUUUGGAAUAGUGCAUAAUUUUUACCUUCUAUAUGAAUAUUAUUAUUUUCUUGUGUUUUAGAAUGGUGUUAAAGACAUGUAGAAAUUGUUAGAUUUUGAAUAUUUUUUUCGCUUUGUAUUUUUUUUUUAAAAAAAGUCAUAAGGAUGUUUA